rnacentral:rRNA from 1 species
UACGAAGGUCCCAAGCGUUAUCCGGAUUUAUUGGGUUUAAAGGGUGCGUAGGCGGGCUAUUAAGUUAGUGGUGAAAGCCCCAAGCUUAACUUGGGAACUGCCAUUGAUACUGAUGGUCUUGAGUACAUUUGAGGUGGGCGGAAUGUGUCAUGUAGCGGUGAAAUGCUUAGAUAUGACACAGAACACCCAUUGCGAAGGCAGCUCGCUAAACCACCAUUGACGCUGAGGCACGAAAGCGUGGGGAGCAAACAGG